rnacentral:rRNA from 1 species
UACGUAGGGGGCGAGCGUUGUCCGGAGUUACUGGGCGUAAAGCGUGCGUAGGUGGUUGUUUAAGUCUGUUGUGAAAGCCCUGGGCUCAACCUGGGAAUUGCAGUGGAUACUGGGCGACUAGAGUGUGGUAGAGGGUAGUGGAAUUCCCGGUGUAGCAGUGAAAUGCGUAGAGAUCGGGAGGAACAUCCAUGGCGAAGGCAGCUACCUGGACCAACACUGACACUGAGGCACGAAAGCGUGGGGAGCAAACAGG